CCUACGGGUGGCAGCAGUGAGGAAUAUUGGUCAAUGGGCGAAAGCCUGAACCAGCCAAGUCGCGUGAGGGAGUACUUCCCUCUGGGUUGUAAACCUCUUUUGUCGGGGAGCAAAAGCCGGACGUGUCCGGCUGUGAGAGUACCCGAAGAAAAAGCGUCGGCUAACUCCGGGCCAGGAGCCCCGGUAAUACGGGGGGUGCGGGCGUUAUCCGGAUUGUUGGGGGUUAAAGGGGGCGCAAGCGGAUUUUUAAGGCAGGGGUCAAAUCCUGGGGGUGAACCCCAAGCCGGCCUUUGAAACUGGGGAUCUAGAGUGUGCGAGAGGUAUGCGGAAUGCGUGGUGUAGCGGUGAAAUGCAUAGAUAUCACGCAGAACACCGAUUGCGAAGGCAGCAUACCGGUGAACAACUGACGCUCAGGCACGAAAGCGUGGGUAUCGAACAGGAUUAGAUACCCUGGUAGUC
rnacentral:rRNA from 1 species